rnacentral:rRNA from 1 species
AGAGAGAGACAUGCGCGCAUAUCAAUAAGCGGAGGAAAAGAAACUAACAAGGAUUCCCCUAGUAACGGCGAGUGAAGCGGGAAGAGCUCAAAUUUGAAAUCUUAAAGGGUUUCCCUUUACGAAUUGUAGUUUAAAGAAGUGUUUUCUGUUGAGGUUUUGGUAAAAGUUCUUUGGAAUAGGACAUCAUAGAGGGUGAGAAUCCCGUAUUUGACCUUUACUUUCAACUUUGUGAUACACUUUCAAAGAGUCGGAUUGUUUGGGAAUGCAGUCCAAAAUGGGUGGUAAAUUUCAUCUAAAGCUAAAUAUUGGCGAGAGACCGAUAGCGAACAAGUACCGUGAGGGAAAGAUGAAAAGAACUUUGAAAAGAGAGUUAAACAGUACGUGAAAUUGUCAAAAGGGAAGCGUUUGACACCAGUGUUGUUUUUCUGAAAAUCAAUUAAAGAACUGUUUAUGCUAAGCUGUUUAGGACUUUAUCAGCUAUCUGUUUAGUUUUGAGCUUUUCUUUAAUGCACUUUUCAGUUAACAAGUCAACAUCAAUUUCUUUUGCUGUAAAAAAGCUUGAGGAAGGUGGCUUGAGAUUCGUCUUAAGUGUUUAUAGCCUCUUGCCUAUGCAGUCGGAGAGAUUGAGGUCUGCAGCGUAGAUCCUUCGGGGCUAAAUGCAUUUGUGCUAAGUUAUAGCAUUUUAUAGACAACUUGUUGACUAUGAUUUGUCUUGUAGCUUACUCGCUUAUGUUAUUUUACCUACGCUUAGAAUGUUGAGCGCAUGUCUCUCUCU